rnacentral:lncRNA from 1 species
ACAUACAACCACUAUCAUAACAAGAAAUCACACGCCACACACAACUUAGAGGAGAACUUCUGUGUAGAUAUCAUCCUUGUGAAUGCUCCACACUUAAUCAGUGCACACCUGGCUAUCCAUUGCCAGAAUCUUCCAAUUGCACCUCCCAAAGUCACCUUUGGUCCCAUCUUGCCACCAGUUGUGCUCAGUAUUAAUGUUUUCC